AAAUUGAAGAGUUUGAUCAUGGCUCAGAUUGAACGCUGGCGGCAGGCCUAACACAUGCAAGUCGAGCGGAAACGAGUUAACUGAACCUUCGGGGAACGUUAACGGCGUCGAGCGGCGGACGGGUGAGUAAUGCCUAGGAAAUUGCCCUGAUGUGGGGGAUAACCAUUGGAAACGAUGGCUAAUACCGCAUAAUGCCUUCGGGCCAAAGAGGGGGACCUUCGGGCCUCUCGCGUCAGGAUAUGCCUAGGUGGGAUUAGCUAGUUGGUGAGGUAAGGGCUCACCAAGGCGACGAUCCCUAGCUGGUCUGAGAGGAUGAUCAGCCACACUGGAACUGAGACACGGUCCAGACUCCUACGGGAGGCAGCAGUGGGGAAUAUUGCACAAUGGGCGCAAGCCUGAUGCAGCCAUGCCGCGUGUAUGAAGAAGGCCUUCGGGUUGUAAAGUACUUUCAGCAGUGAGGAAGGUGGUGUAGUUAAUAACUGCAUCAUUUGACGUUAGCUGCAGAAGAAGCACCGGCUAACUCCGUGCCAGCAGCCGCGGUAAUACGGAGGGUGCGAGCGUUAAUCGGAAUUACUGGGCGUAAAGCGCAUGCAGGUGGUUUGUUAAGUCAGAUGUGAAAGCCCGGGGCUCAACCUCGGAAUUGCAUUUGAAACUGGCAGACUAGAGUACUGUAGAGGGGGGUAGAAUUUCAGGUGUAGCGGUGAAAUGCGUAGAGAUCUGAAGGAAUACCGGUGGCGAAGGCGGCCCCCUGGACAGAUACUGACACUCAGAUGCGAAAGCGUGGGGAGCAAACAGGAUUAGAUACCCUGGUAGUCCACGCCGUAAACGAUGUCUACUUGGAGGUUGUGGCCUUGAGCCGUGGCUUUCGGAGCUAACGCGUUAAGUAGACCGCCUGGGGAGUACGGUCGCAAGAUUAAAACUCAAAUGAAUUGACGGGGGCCCGCACAAGCGGUGGAGCAUGUGGUUUAAUUCGAUGCAACGCGAAGAACCUUACCUACUCUUGACAUCCAGAGAAGCCAGUAGAGAUACAGGUGUGCCUUCGGGAACUCUGAGACAGGUGCUGCAUGGCUGUCGUCAGCUCGUGUUGUGAAAUGUUGGGUUAAGUCCCGCAACGAGCGCAACCCUUAUCCUUGUUUGCCAGCGAGUAAUGUCGGGAACUCCAGGGAGACUGCCGGUGAUAAACCGGAGGAAGGUGGGGACGACGUCAAGUCAUCAUGGCCCUUACGAGUAGGGCUACACACGUGCUACAAUGGCGCAUACAGAGGGCAGCAAGCUAGCGAUAGUGAGCGAAUCCCAAAAAGUGCGUCGUAGUCCGGAUUGGAGUCUGCAACUCGACUCCAUGAAGUCGGAAUCGCUAGUAAUCGUGGAUCAGAAUGCCACGGUGAAUACGUUCCCGGGCCUUGUACACACCGCCCGUCACACCAUGGGAGUGGGCUGCAAAAGAAGUAGGUAGUUUAACCUUCGGGAGAACGCUUACCACUUUGUGGUUCAUGACUGGGGUGAAGUCGUAACAAGGUAGCCCUAGGGGAACCUGGGGCUGGAUCACCUCCUUAUACGAUGAU
rnacentral:rRNA from 1 species